CACAGUCCUGCAGGUGGCUUUAUUCCUAAAGUGCUGGGCUGUGCUGCUGUUGAACCCUCCUGCUCCUCCUUGCUCCCAAGACCUACUUCUGGACUUAAGUGCUGCAUCAGGAGUAAUCACCUGACUAAAACACUUGUUGAAAAGAGGAAAAUCACCUUAAAAGGCUGGAGCAGGAAAGGUCUGAAUUCUGUGUUUUUUCCUCCAUCCUCAGCUGUUCACCAUCAUCCUGCCAGGUUCUAAUUCUUUCUGGACAUCCAUCCUCUCAGAAUACUAGAGUGAGCACAACAUCUGUGAGUGGUUGCAGUUUUGCUGUGACCAGUACAAACUAGAUGCCAAAUGCAUUUCCUUUUCCCACUGUAAUAUCAAUGGCUUGCAAUUAUGCAAGAUGACCCAGCAAUAUUUUGUGGAUGUUGCAGGCCUUUGUGGAGAAUACUUGUAUUUCAUCUUACAGAAUAGCAGGAUAUAUGGUUAGUGAUCCAGAAAUCAAACUCAAAACAUGAAGCAUUGCAUUUUUGUGUGAGUUUAACAAAAAAUGUGUAAUGCACAUCCCUGAGCAUUGAAAAAGACGAAAUACAGAGGCCACUUAGAUACUACACGAGGAGUAUGCAGAAACAGGGCAGGCAGACAGCAAUCUCACUGCAAGUUUUGGCCUCAAAAUCACACACAGUCCAGGCUCAUCUUUGUGAACCAGCCAGAUCUCCAAAUGGACACAAACUCUGCUCUUUCCUUUGGUUUUCUACUCAAAGUGGCCAACCUGAAUGCUCCAAGGAAGGUUUGAAUUCUGACAGGACAUAGAAAGACAAAACACAUUAUUCCUGUAACUCGAACUAGUGAAGAUUGGUCUGCUUCUGAAAGAAUA